GAAAGAAGAGGACCGACCAACCGACCGACAGACAGACACCAAGGGCGAGCGCUGGGCAUUGCAGCAGAAGUACUGCACUCCAGGACCAUCUUCUCCUGCCUCACUGCCUGCUGGACUGGUCUAUAGACUGUGAGAACAAAUUGGUUCCUUUCUACUUGAUGCCUCCUCGUUGGACCUGGCUGGUUAAUUUUGAUGUUUCAUUUGGAUUUCUGUUCUGGUUGAGAAGCACAACUCGUGCUUAUUCACAAUCAAAUUUUGUGAGAACAAAUUGGUUCCUUUCUACUUGAUGCCUCCUCGUUGGACCUGGCUGGUUAAUUUUGAUGUUUCAUUUGGAUUUCUGUUCUGGUUGAGAAGCACAACUCGUGCUUAUUCACAAUCAAAUUUUGUGAGAACAAAUUGGUUCCUUUCUACUUGAUGCCUCCUCGUUGGACCUGGCUGGUUAAUUUUGAUGUUUCAUUUGGAUUUCUGUUCUGGUUAAGAAGCACAACUCGUGCUUAUUCACAAUCAAAUUUUGUGAGAACAAAUUGGUUCCUUUCUACUUGAUGCCUCCUCGUUGGACCUGGCUGGUUAAUUUUGAUGUUUCAUUUGGAUUUCUGUUCUGGUUAAGAAGCAUGACUCGUUCCUUUUCACAUUCAAAUUUUGUGAGAACAAAUUGGUUCCUUUCUACUUGAUGCCUCCUCGUUGGACCUGGCUGGUUAAUUUUGAUGUUUUAUUUGGAUUUCUGUUCUUGUUAAGAAGCACAACUCGUACUUAUUCACAAUCAAAUUUCAGUGAUUUACCAAGAUAUGGGUCAAGAAGCUUUAUGCCUUAUGUGGAGAAUCUUUGUUCUGGAACGCUUUUAACAUUUUUUUCUAUAUUUUAUAUGGUAACAUUAAAAAAAAAAAAUUAAAACCCCUAUCUCC